rnacentral:rRNA from 1 species
AGAUACCCUACUAUGCCCAACUGUAAACACAGAUUCUUNUUAUCCGCCAGAGAACAACGAGCCAAAGCUUAAAACUCAAAGGACUUGGCGGCAUUCCACACCACCCUAGAGGGGCCUGUCACAUAAUCGAUAACCCACGAUACACCUCACCCCUUUUAUUCCCGCCUAUAUACCGCCGUCGCCAGCCCAUCUUUUAAAAGGAGCCAAAUGGGCCCAAUAGUCUCACCACACUAACACGACAGGUCAAGGUGUAGCCCAUAAAGGGGCGAAUGAUGGACCACAUUGCCCUCAAAGCCAAACCAAGGCUGUAAUGAAACACACACUUUAAGGUGAAUUUAACAGUAAUGCAGGUAAGAAAGCCCGCCUAAAGAUUGCUCUGGAACGUGCACACACCGCCCGUCAC